rnacentral:rRNA from 1 species
UACGAAGGGUGCAAACGUUGCUCGGAAUCAUUGGGCGUAAAGCGCACGUAGGCGGCCCUGUAAGUCGGAUGUGAAAUCCCACAGCUUAACUGUGGACGUGCAUUCGGAAACUGCGGGGCUCGAGUAUGGGAAGAGGGUCGCAGAACUUCCCGGUGUAGAGGUGAAAUUCGUAGGAUAUCCGGGAGGAAUACCAGUGGCGAAGGCGGGCGACCUGGGCCAAUACUGACGCUG